CCAGCUGGAGGAGAGACGGCCUGUGCAGCAACAACAAGACAACAAUGAUUAUAAGCAGGGAUAAUCUCCAGGUUGACUGAACGGGUCCAGGAUCAAGAGAUCAUUCAUCAUGCAGACCAUGUUCCAGGAGAAGCAGCGUAUACUGGGUCUGCUUGAUCAUUUUGUUGUCCUGGAUGUGAGAACAUGGUCAAAAGCUGCCAGAGGAGGAUGAUGAUGGCAGUGGUGACCGAGGUGACAGUGCAGCUCAGGAUGAAGAAGAGGAGGAACAUUUUGUAAAAAUCCAAAGUGAAUAUAUAGAGACCAUCCUCCUAUCCUUGCCUCAGAAGAACCUGAGAAAGACCCUCUUCCUCUUCUCUCACAGCUCUCCAUCAUCUACCUCUACAACACUGUUGGCAAGAGUGUUAUACACAGCUGAGGACACGGUAAUGAGAGAUCUCAAAUUCUUCCUGAGAAAGUCCACAUGUUCAUUUUCUUGAACAAAAACUGUACAUGUAUUUUUGGGUGGGCCAAACUAUUAUUUGAAGAAAUGCUAAAAAUCUCUAUAUUGUUCUUUAUACAUAUCUUAGUCUUUAUGAAUGUCAUUUCCUGGAUUAUUUUUAGCUUUUGAGAAGCUCAAGGACUGUAUAUCUUUGGUAAUUGUGAUAUUGUCUGGCAGUAAAGCACU